UAGGAGAAAAAGGAAAGAUAGAACCUAGACAGAUAGGGAACCUGGGCAACAGAAGACCAAAGAUGAACAUGGACAGGCACCCCUUGGACAAAGGACGAUGUGCUUAUUGCAAAGAAAAAGAACAUUGGGCAAGAAAAUGCCCAAAGAAGAAAGGAAGGGACUCUAAGGUACUGGCCCUAGCAGAAGAUAAUUAGAGGGGAGAAAAUAAAAGACUAUAAUAAUUGGAGCAACUGGACAGAAACAAUAUCUAUGGACCACCUCACAAACUGUAGAUUUGGGGAGAGGACAAGUGACUCAUUCCUUUCUGGUUAUCCCCGAGCGUCCUAUCUUUGUUAGAAAGAGACUUGCUAACGAAGCUGAAGGCCCAGAUCGGGUUUACUCAAACCAGGCUGGAGGUGAUUAAAGCCUUUUGUUGACUGAACCAGUGACCUUCACUCCCCCUGCUGUCCCCCAUCCCGCUACCCUACUGCCUGAGGCUGAUGACACCUCGUCUACUCAUCAAUGCGCUGAGAAGCUGGCACCAGAAAUGAUCUGAAGGAUCAGCCUUGGCCUGAAAGUCCGAGCUGGUGUACGGAUGGCAGCUGUUUCGUGAUCGAAGACCUUUAUUUUCCCCGUCUAAAGGCCCUUGAAAUGGAGAGACACCAGAUCUGAAAACAACUGAAAGAAGUAUGCAUCUCUGCCUGGAUCCACGCCUCCCACAUGAAGCGAGCUCCUGAACUACCCGAACUACAGUAUCCGAGGCUUUUGACAACGCUACCAGUCAAAAGGCUUGGGUUUAGAGGACUGGUCUCUUACUGAGGUUAUGUAAUGAGACUCUAAAGAACCCUAAGACUCCUGACACCUAGUACUUGGUUCCUGGUUUAGGUAGAUGAUGGGUUUGUAGUACAGGCUUGAUGCCUUGCAUGUCAAUGUUAAUUUUUGAUGAUACCAAAGAUUACUGUAUGCUUGCACAACUGGUAUGAGUUUGACAGGCACCCAUCUCGCUUUCGACGAGAACCUAUUUCUCUGACACUAGCAGUAAUCCUGGGCCUUAGAGAAGCUGCCGAUGUUGGGGCAGGUACUGCUGCCCUAAUACAGGCCCCUCAGUACUUUAAUGUAUUAAGAUUUGAGGGCUUUAGAACAAUCUGUUUCCAAACUCGAAGAGUCAUUGACUUCCCUCUCAGAAAUGGUCUUACAAAAUAGAAGGGGAUUAGAUUUGUUAUUCUUAAAGGAUGGAGGAUUAUGCGAAUAGAUCUCCCUGGAUGACUACUUUGAUAUCCUCCCUUAUGGGACCACUCCUAAUUUUGCUUCUGCUACUGAUAUUA